rnacentral:rRNA from 1 species
CCUACGGGUGGCAGCAGUGGGGAAUAUUGGGCAAUGUGCGCAAGCCUGACCCAGCAACGCCGCGUGAAGGAAGAAGGCUUUCGGGUUGUAAACUUCUUUUAUAGAGGACGAAACAAAUGCCGUUACCCAAUGAAUAAGCACCGGCUAACUACGUGCCAGCGGCCGCGGUAAUACGUAGGUGGCAAGCGUUAUCCGGAUUUACUGGGUGUAAAGGGGGUGUAGGGGGGAGUGCAAGUCAGAUGUGAAACCCAUGGGCUCAACCCAUGGCCUGCAUUUGAAACUGUAGUUCUUGAGUAAUGGAGAGGCAGGCGGAAUUCCGUGUGUAGCGGUGAAAUGCGUAGAUAUACGGAGGAACACCAGUGGCGAAGGCGGUCUGCUGGACAUUAACUGACGGUGAGGCGCGAAAGCGUGGGGAGCAAACAGGAUUAGAUACCCGAGUAGUC